CUUAAUCUUACACACUGGACCUUUAAGUGUUACGUGAGGUUUUGAUUUAUAAUUCAGGUAAUUUUGACAUGAUGUUUGAAAGCUGUUUGACUCAGAGGUUUAUGUUUUGCAGAUGAGCCAGAGACUCGCGACGCCUGGUGGGAGGAGAUUCGCCAGGAGAUCAAAUCUCAUGCCAAAGCUCUUGGCUGCCAUGCUGUCGUGGGCUACAGCGAGAGCACCAGCAUUUGUGAGGAGGUGUGUAUCCUCUCAGCAUCAGGCACAGCAGCCAUCCUGAAUCCUAGAUACAUGCGUGAAGGCUGCCUUGAUACCGGAAACUCUGAACACAGGUUUGAGGAACCAUCUCCCCCGAGCUGUGGUUUUUGUCACAUCCCAUAUGACGAGCUCAACAUGCCAUUUCCUGCCCAGCUCACAUACUGCUACCGCUGCAGACGGCAAAAGGUUCCUGAUGUGCUUUUCACAACAAUCGACAUGCCACCGGAAGCAGCUGUCACAGGGAAGGGCUGCCUCAUCCAGGCCAG